rnacentral:rRNA from 1 species
UACGUAGGGUGCAAGCGUUACUCGGAAUUACUGGGCGUAAAGCGUGCGUAGGCGGUUUGUUAAGUCCGUUGUGAAAGCCCUGGGCUCAACCUGGGAAUUGCAGUGGAUACUGGCAAGCUAGAGUACGGUAGAGGAUGGUGGAAUUCCCGGUGUAGCGGUGAAAUGCGUAGAGAUCGGGAGGAACACCCGUGGCGAAGGCGGCCAUCUGGACCAGUACUGACGCUGAGGCACGAAAGCGUGGGGAGCAAACAGG